AUUGAACGCUGGCGGCAUGCCUUACACAUGCAAGUCGAACGGUAACAGGUCUUCGGAUGCUGACGAGUGGCGAACGGGUGAGUAAUACAUCGGAACGUGCCUAGUAGUGGGGGAUAACUACUCGAAAGAGUGGCUAAUACCGCAUGAGAUCUACGGAUGAAAGCAGGGGAUCGCAAGACCUUGUGCUACUAGAGCGGCCGAUGGCAGAUUAGGUAGUUGGUGGGUUAAAAGCUUACCAAGCCGACGAUCUGUAGCUGGUCUGAGAGGACGAUCAGCCACACUGGGACUGAGACACGGCCCAGACUCCUACGGGAGGCAGCAGUGGGGAAUUUUGGACAAUGGGCGCAAGCCUGAUCCAGCAAUGCCGCGUGCAGGAUGAAGGCCUUCGGGCUGUAAACUGCUUUUGUACGGAACGAAAAGCUUCGGGUUAAUACCCUGGAGUCAUGACGGUACCGUAAGAAUAAGCACCGGCUAACUACGUGCCAGCAGCCGCAGUAACAC
rnacentral:rRNA from 1 species